rnacentral:snoRNA from 1 species
UUGUAGCCAAUUAAGCCAACCAUGGUGCUCUUUUCCCCAUGGGGGCCUGGUGUGCAAUGGCUGCAAACAGCAGCCUCCUCAGUAGUGUACACAGCCUGCUUCCUGUAUGGAUUACACUAAGGGACCUUAAAGACAGUC